UACGUAGGUGGCAAGCGUUGUCCGGAAUUAUUGGGCGUAAAGCGUGCGCAGACGGUUGCGUAAGUCAGAUGUGAAAGCCCCGGGCUCAACCUGGGAAUUGCAUUUGAGACUGCGUAGCUAGGGUGCGGAAGAGGGAAGCGGAAUUUCCGGUGUAGCGGUGAAAUGCGUAGAUAUCGGAAGGAACACCAGUGGCGAAAGCGGCUUCCUGGUCCAGCACCGACGUUCAGGCACGAAAGCGUGGGGAGCAAACAGG
rnacentral:rRNA from 1 species